AGCGAACGCUGGCGGCAGGCUUAACACAUGCAAGUCGAGCGGGCGUAGCAAUACGUCAGCGGCGCACGGGUGCGUAACGCGUGGGAAUAUGCCCUUCACUGCGGAAUAACGUUUGGAAACGAACGCUAAUACCGCAUAAUGACUCCGGUCCAAAGAUUUAUCGGUGAAGGAUUAGCCCGCGUUAGAUUAGCUAGUUGGUGAGGUAAUGGCUCACCAAGGCGACGAUCUAUAGCUGGUCUGAGAGGAUGAUCAGCCACACUGGGACUGAGACACGGCCCAGACUCCUACGGGAGGCAGCAGUGAGGAAUAUUGGACAAUGGGGCGAACCCUGAUCCAGCAAUGCCGCGUGGGUGAUGAAGGCCUCGG
rnacentral:rRNA from 1 species